GGGGAUGUAGCUCAGUGGUAAAGUGCUUGCUUAGUAAGCAUGAGACUCUGGGCUUGAUCCCCAUCACCA
rnacentral:tRNA from 1 species